AGAGUUUGAUCAUGGCUCAGAAUGAACGCUAGCGGCAGGCCUAAUACAUGCAAGUCGAACGGUAAGUCCCGCCUCGGCGGGAACACGAGUGGCGCACGGGUGCGUAACGCGUAUGCAACCUACCUUUAACUGGGGAAUAGCCCCGAGAAAUCGGGAUUAAUACCCCAUAAUAAUAAAAUAUGACAUCAUUUUUUAUUUAAAGUUCCGGCGGUUAAAGAUGGGCAUGCGUGACAUUAGUUAGUUGGUGAGGUAACGGCUCACCAAGGCAACGAUGUCUAGGGGUUCUGAGAGGAUUAACCCCCACACUGGUACUGAGACACGGACCAGACUCCUACGGGAGGCAGC
rnacentral:rRNA from 1 species